AUACGGGGGGUGCAAGCGUUAAUCGGAAUUACUGGGCGUAAAGCGUCCGCAGGCGGCCGGCCAGGUCGGCGGUGAAAGCUCCCGGCUCAACUGGGAGAGGUCCGUCGAAACCGGUCGGCUCGAGGGUCGGAGAGGGGGGUGGAAUUCCCGGUGUAGCGGUGAAAUGCGCAGAUAUCGGGAGGAACACCGGUGGCGAAGGCGGCCCCCUGGCCGACCCCUGACGCUCAGGGACGAAAGCGUGGGGAGCAAACAGGAUUAGAAACCCUAGUAGUCC
rnacentral:rRNA from 1 species